UUCCUGGUGGCUCAAUGGUAAAGAAACUGCCUGUCAAUGCAGGAGACACAGGUUCGAGUCCUGAUCUGGGAA
rfam:Ovis aries breed Texel chromosome 14, whole genome shotgun sequence.